rnacentral:rRNA from 1 species
GGCGGCUACCAUGCAGUCGAACGAUCCUUGAGAGGCUUGCCUUUUAAGGAGAGUGGCGAACGGGUGAGUAACACGUGAGCAAUCUGCCCUCGAGUGGGGAACAACCUCGCGAAAGCGGGGCUAAUACCGCAUAAUACUCUGCAGCACAUGCUGUCAGAGUCAAAGCCUUCGGGUGCUUGGGGAUGAGCUUGCGUUCUAUUAGCUUGUUGGUAGGGUAACGGCCUACCAAGGCUGCGAUGGAUAGCCGGCCUGAGAGGGUGAUCGGCCACACUGGGACUGCGACACGGCCCAGACUCCUACGGGAGGCAGCAGUGGGGAAUUUUGCGCAAUGGGCGAAAGCCUGACGCAGCGACGCCGCGUGGAGGAUGACGGCCUUCGGGUUGUAAACUCCUGUCAGAGGUGAAGAAUGCCCUUCGGGGUUUGACGGUAACCUCAGAGGAAGCCCCGGCUAACUACGUGCCAGCAGCCGCGGUAAUACGUAGGGGGCAAACGUUGCUCGGAAUUACUGGGCGUAAAG